rnacentral:rRNA from 1 species
UACGAAGGGUGCAAACGUUGCUCGGAAUUAUUGGGCGUAAAGCGCACGUAGGCGGCAUUGCAAGUCGGAUGUGAAAUCCCUCGGCUUAACCAAGGAAGUGCAUCCGAAACUGCAGUGCUUGAGUACUUAAGAGGAUCGCGGAAUUCCCGGUGUAGAGGUGAAAUGCGUAGAUAUCUGGAGGAACACCGGUGGCGAAGGCGGCAUCCUGGACCAACACUGACGCUGAGUGAGCGAAAGCCAGGGGAGCAAACGGG